rnacentral:rRNA from 1 species
GACGGAGGGGGCAAGCGUUGUCCGGACUCACUGGGCGUAAAGGGUGCGUAGGCGGUCUUGUGCGUCCGCGCUGAAAUCAUCCGGCUCAACCGGGGUGGCGCGUGUGGAUACGAUGAGACUUGAGGGCUCUGAGAGGGUGGGCGGAACUCCUGGUGUAGUGGGUGAAAUGCGUAGAGAUCAGGAAGAACACCUGUGGCGAAGGCGGCCGACUGGGCCGGACCCUGACGCUGAGGCGCGAAGGCGUGGGAGCGAACGGG